GCAUGGGUUGGAUUUAUGGCAGGCCUUUCCUGCCUUGGGCCUUUCAUAGUGUCCUGUGCCAGAACAAACUGUGGUCCCGAACCAUUGCCUGGCCUCUACCUAUGUGCUACUGGCACUGAAGAGGGUUCCACAGAG